GGGCGAGCCACACCCAAAGUAAAACUAAAGUGAUAACAAUACAAAUCCAAGUUGCAGUCCAGUCGAACUCUGGGCUGCAAUCGGAACUAUGCGUCAGCGGAAGCAUCCUGCAAAAAGGGGCCAACACCGCAGGCAGCGUUGGGUGCAGACGCAACCUCCUACUUGAAAUCCUCGACGACGAAGUCCGGAUCCUGCUCUGAAGCAACAAAAUAGGGGUGAGUACAAAAGUACUCAACAAGUCCAACCCCAUCCACGGAGGGGGAUAUAGCAAGAUUAUGCACAAGAUACAACAAGGAUAUGGUUAAGGUUUAUUUGCAAUAAAGCUAGAUUUUGGACACAUGCAGGUGUUUAUUUCAAAGGAUUUUUGCAAGGCAUUUUCUUUAAUAACUAAAACAUUAAGUGGGGUUGAUCCUACACAAAGGAUCCAAGUUUUAUCGCUACCGGACUCCCCGUCUGCUGUAGCGCAUGGCACAACUGCCGGACUCUUCCAAAAUCCAACACACGCCAUAAAAACCAACCAUCUCUAAAUGCUAGUUAUGUGACCAAGCCGUAACUCGUCCAAUGCCGUGGACACGGCUACCCGGAUAGGUUUUAACUCUACAGAGGUUGUACACUUUUCCCACAAGUAGGGUACCACAGCACGAACCACCUUAGUGCCGGUGUGGAUCCUAACAAAGCCAUUACCCACCUUAGCCCAAACUGACUAGUCAACACAGAAGCACCCAAGGGGUUAACGACCCAUCCAUGAGGCCGAAACCAGGACUUAAGUCACCAAGAGCUUAAUCCAUUCCCAUGGGCUUCCGUCGCUCACCAGCACACCUGAAGCCUAGCAGUUUAGCUAGUGGGGUUUAUGCUAAGCCGUUGCCCAUACAACGGUCGAGUGGUUGCACGAUGGUUGAAUUAGGCAAGAUGACACAUCAACUCGGUCCUUAGCCAUGACAAGAUGGACAUCUCCCAACUUUUCUCAACCACUAAGGUACGAGCUCAACAACCCAACAUUUCACACAAGAAACGCCCAUCCAUCUCAUCCAUGCACCAUUUCUCUUUACACCCAAAAACCCAUCUCCUCAGUUGAACACACUCAUACAUUUUAUUUUCUGAAAGAAAACAAGUGUAGUCAUGAUUGAAUAUGAUUAACGAGUUCCUAAGCAUUCUAGCAGUAUUUGUCAUCUAAACAGAGCAACUCAUAUUUAGAGACAAAUAUAGGUCAACAAGGAAUAAUUGUAACAAUCAAGGGGUGGCUAUCCAACCAUGUCUUGCAAGUAAACAAUAUGCAUUUUAGAAAACAGGCCAAUAGUUUGUGUUUGAAAAACUAGGUAUUAAAUAUGCAUCAAAGGAUAAGGUUGGACUUGCCGUUCUCAAAGCCUUCCGGGAGCUCCUGCUCACGGUAUUGGUCCUCGGGCUUGGGCUCAUGGUCGAACUCCUCCUCGUGCUCCUCCUCGGGUACCCCGUGAU
rnacentral:lncRNA from 1 species